UGCGGUAUCCUGACCGUGCUAAGGUAGCAUAAUCAUUUGCCUUUUAAUUGGAGGCUUGUAUGAACGGACACACGAGAGCUCAUCUUUUUUCUGUGAGACAUAAAAAUUAUCCUUCAAGUGAAGAGACUUGAAUAGUAUAAAAAGACGAAAAGACCCUGUGGAGCUUUACUUAAAUUAUUAGUAAACAAAAUAAAAAAAUCCUUUUUCUAUAAAGAAAGUUUGGUUGGGGCGACUGAGGAGCACACACUAACCUCCUCCAAAGGAAAGACAUUAAAUCUCCAAAAAAUCCACACAAGUGAAUAAAAAUCAAGCUACCCCAGGGAUAACAGGCUAAUCCUCCUCGAGAGCUCAAAUUGACAGGAGGGCUUGGCACCUCGAUGUUGGCUUAAGGUCCCUUCUAAGUGCAGCAGCUUAGACAGUGGGUUUGUUCAACCUUUAAAACCUUACGUGAUCUGAGUUCAGA
rnacentral:rRNA from 1 species